CUCAGUAGUUAGAUAACAAAACUACUCGCCAGAAUACUACAAGCAACAGCUUAAAACUCAAAGGACUUGACGGUGCUUUACAUCCCCCUAGAGGAGCCUGUUCCAUAAUCGAUAAACCCCGAUCCACCCCACCCUCUCUUGCUCAGCCUAUAUACCGCCAUCUUCAGCAAACCCCAAUGAAGGCCACAAAGUGAGCGCAAACGCCGCUGCCGCGAAUACGUUAGGUCAAGGUGUAGCCCAUGAGACGGUAAAAAAUGGGCUACAUUUUCUAUUUCAGAAAACCCCACGAAAACCCUUAUGAAACUUAAGGGUCCAAGGAGGAUUUAGCAGUAAAUUAAGAAUAGAGUGCUUAAUUGAACCAGGCCAUAAAGCGCGCACACACCGCCCGUCACUCCUCUCAAAUAUAUUUAAGGAAUAUCCUAACUAAACGCCCUAAUAUUUAUAUAGAGGGGAUAAGUCGUAACAUGGUAAGCGUACUGGAAGGUGCGCUUGGAUAAAU
rnacentral:rRNA from 1 species